UCUCUGGGCCAAUACUGACACUGAGGAGCGAAAGCGUGGGGAGCGAACAGGAUUAGAUAGCCUGGUAGUCCACGCCGUAAACGGUGGGCGCUAGUUGUGCGAACCUUCCACGGUUUGUGCGACGCAGCUAACGCAUUAAGCGCCCCGCCUGGGGAGUACGAUCGCAAGAUUAAAACUCAAAGGAAUUGACGGGGCCCCGCACAAGCAGCGGAGCAUGCGGCUUAAUUCGACGCAACGCGAAGAACCUUACCAAGGCUUGACAUAUACAGGAAUAUGGCAGAGAUGUCAUAGCCGCAAGGUCUGUAUACAGGUGGUGCAUGGUUGUCGUCAGCUCGUGUCGUGAGAUGUUGGGUUAAGUCCCGCAACGAGCGCAACCCUUGUUCUGUGUUGCCAGCAUUUAGUUGGGGACUCACAGGAGACUGCCGGGGUUAACUCGGAGGAAGGUGGGGAUGACGUCAAAUCAUCAUGCCCCUUAUGUCUUGGGCUGCACGCAUGCUACAAUGGCUGGUACAAACGGCUGCGAUACCGCAAGGUGGAGCGAAUCCGAUAAAGCCAGUCUCAGUUCGGAUUGGGGUCUGCAACUCGACCCCAUGAAGUCGGAGUUGCUAGUAAUCGUAGAUCAGCAACGCUACGGUGAAUACGUUCCCGGGGCUUGUACACACCGCCCGUCACAUCA
rnacentral:rRNA from 1 species